GCGGGUAUCGUAUAACGGCUAUUAUGUGUGCUUCCCAAGCAUAAGACCGGGGUCCGACUCCCCGUACCCGCACCA
rnacentral:tRNA from 1 species